AACGAACGCUGGCGGCAUGCCUAACACAUGCAAGUCGAACGAGACCUUCGGGUCUAGUGGCGCACGGGUGCGUAACGCGUGGGAACCUGCCCUUAGGUUCGGAAUAACUCCCCGAAAGGGGUGCUAAUACCGGAUAAUGUCUUCGGACCAAAGAUUUAUCGCCAUUGGAUGGGCCCGCGUUGGAUUAGCUAGUUGGUAGGGUAAAAGCAUACCAAGGCGACGAUCCAUAGCUGGUCUGAGAGGAUGAUCAGCCACACUGGGACUGCGACACGGCCCAGACUCCUACGGGAGGCAGCAGUGGGGAAUAUUGGACAAUGGGCGAAAGCCUGAUACAGCAAUGCCGCGUGAGUGAUGAAGGCCUUAGGGUUGUAAAGCUCUUUUACCCGGGAUGAUAAUGACAGUACCGGGAGAAUAAGCUCCGGCUAACUCCGUG
rnacentral:rRNA from 1 species